CGGGUGAGUAACACGUGGGUAACCUGCCCUUGAGUUCGGGAUACCCCCUCGAAAGGGGGGCUAAUACCGGAUACGUUCCUCGGAUCGACAGGUCUGGGGAGGAAAGGUGGCGCAAGCUGCCGCUCUUGGAGGGGCUCGCGGCCUAUCAGCUAGUUGGCGGGGUAACGGCCCACCAAGGCUAUGACGGGUAGCUGGUCUGAGAGGACGACCAGCCACACGGGGACUGAGACACGGCCCCGACUCCUACGGGAGGCAGCAGUGGGGAAUUUUCCGCAAUGGGCGAAAGCCUGACGGAGUGACGCCGCGUGUGGG
rnacentral:rRNA from 1 species